rnacentral:lncRNA from 1 species
AUCAUCCAAUGUACCUGUUGAAACCAUAUUACUAUAAAGAAAUUUCUGCAUUUGUAGGGUCGAAGUGAAGAUCCUUUCUAUUCUGCUCCUUACAGUAAUCAUAUAGAAGGGGAAAUCCAAACACUUGCUCUCUGCUGAAAGGAUUGUUAAUACAAUAGACACAGAAGGACUACUAAAACUUAAGAGUUUGAAGAGAAAAUUUAUCAGGAACUUACUACUAACACUCAUCAAAAGUUGACUACAGACCAUUUCCCCUUUUUUGCAUUCAGCUUUACUUGAUGAGUUCAUCUCUAUCAAACUGGGAGAUUUCCUUCUUUUUUCUGAAAAUACUGCUGUUGAAGGUAGAGCAUACCUCUGCCAGAAAGGAGGCUAUUGCUUUGAAAGAAGAUCAUCUGGUACAAAGCUUCUGGGAAUGUUUUAAUUGAAAAUAUCUGGGGGUUGGAGGUAAGUGACCAAGCGACUGCAUGGUCCUGAUCUGACCACUGGGGUUAACCCACACACUACUGGACGUGUCUGACAGGAGAAACUUCUAUCCAUCUUCACCAUAUCCAGUACUUGUAAAUUGAAAAGGUUGUAUUACGUCUUUUUUUUUAACUAAAUAAAGGAGAAAUUAUUAGUAGUAUUUCUUUAUAG